rnacentral:misc_RNA from 1 species
AAGUCGUAACAAGGUCUCCGUAGGUGAACCUGCGGAGGGAUCAUUAACAUAUCACUUAUAUAGCCCUGAUCUCCAGUGGUCCUCUGGGAUUGCUGGGACAGAAGCUGUGUAUUCCACACACCCUUGAACCCACUAUCACACACACACUUGGCAUGCGCGGCUCUGCCUCCUCUGAGAGACAAACUGUGUCUUGCCUUCCCAUUUCCCUUUUUUUCUCCUCUUGAUCCACUUUCCAUUUCUUUCUGCCCUCUCUCUGAGCGGGUGAAAACGUAAACUACAUAUCACUCCUAGCAAUGGAUA